UAAUACGUAGGGUGCAAGCGUUAAUCGGAAUUAUUGGGCGUAAAGGGUGCGCAGGCGGUUUUGUAAGUCAGAUGUGAAAUCCCCGGGCUUAACCUGGGAAUUGCGUUUGAAACUACAAGACUAGAGUGUGGCAGAGGGGGGUGGAAUUCCAUGUGUAGCAGUGAAAUGCGUAGAGAUGUGGAAGAACAUCGAUGGCGAAGGCAACCCCCUGGGUUAACACUGACGCUCAGGCACGAAAGCGUGGGGAGCAAACAGG
rnacentral:rRNA from 1 species